GUCCUAUAUAGAUGUAUCAACGCAAGACAGUUGAGCAUCUCCCUUUAGGAUGUUGUUUAUCCAGAAGCUUCAGCGACAAUCUUUAUUGUGUAGCUGCAUAAGUUGAAAUAAAGUGAGUUGAAGUGGAACAGGUUAAUCGUAAGACCUUGAGUUGAAAAACUCUAAAAUUAACCUAGAAAUAUAAUUUCGUAUUUUCUAGUUGCGAUCCC
rnacentral:ncRNA from 1 species